CUCGCUCUCUCUCCCAAUCCCGGCUUCUCAAUCUCCCAAAAGUGGCUAGUUGGCUUGCGGGAGCUCCUUAUAUAUGAUCUCUUAAAGGUGUGAACUCAAAGGUUGACUCCUCCUCUGAGAGUGGGAUUGUGGGCUCCUGACUUGUGAAGCUCGCUGAGGUGUCAACUCUUAAAGGUGUGAACUCAAGGACAUAAGCACUGUUUCUGUCUAUUCCAGUGAGUUAGCACCUUGUUUCAUGCCCUGGCUAAUGUGCUAACUCUUAAAGGUGUGAACUCAAGGACAUAAGCACUGUUUCUAUCCAUUCCAGUGAGUUAGCACCUUGUUUCAAGUUCUGGCUCAUCACAAAUUGGGUUACUGAUAUAGUCAAUUAUGCUAAUAGUUUUCCUAAUAUUGAACCAGCCCUGCAUCCCUGGUAUAAAUCCUACUUGCUCAUAGUGUAUUAUCCCGCGGAUGAUUUUCGGUUAUCUUUUUGCUAAUAUCUUAUUUAAGGUUUUAGCAUCAAUAGUCAUUAGGGAAAUUAGUCUAUCAUUUUCUUUCUCUGUUUUCAACCUACCUGUUUUAGGUAUCAGUGCCAUGUCUGUGUCGUAAAAGGAGUUUGGUAGGACUCCUUCAAUCCCUAUCUUUUCAAAUAGUUUGUAGAGCAUUGGAGUUAAUUGUUCGUUAAAUGUUUGGUGGAAUUCACAUGUAAAUCCAUGUGGUCCUGAGGAUUUUUUCUUAGGGAGUUGACUAAUAGCUUGUUCCAUUUCUUUUUCUGAGAUGGGGCUGUUUAACCAAUUUACUUCUUCCUCUGUUAUUCUGGGCAAGCUAUAUUUUUCAAGGUAUUCUUCCAUUUCAUUUAAGUUAUCGAAUUUAUUGGCAUAAAGUUAGGCAAAGUAAUUCCUAAUUAUUCCUCUAAUUUCCUCUUCAUUAGUGGCGAGUUCUCCCUUUUCAUUUUUAAGACUAACAAUUUGAUUUUUCCCUUUUCUUUUUUUCAUCAGAUUUCUUAAGGGUUUCUCUAUUUUGCUGGUUUUUUUCAUAGAACCAACUCUUAGUUUUAUUAAUUCAAGAGUUUUUUUUUUUUUACUUUCAAUUUUAUUAAUCUCUCCUUUUACUUUUAGAAUUUCAAGUUUAGUGUUUGACUGGGAGUUUUUAAUUUGUUCCUUUUCUAGCAUUUUUAAUUGCAAGCCCAAUUCAUUGAUUUCUUCUUAUUUUAUGCAAGUAGGCCUCUAGAGAUAUAAAUUUUCCCCUUAUUACCACUUUGGCUGCAUUGCACACAUUUUGGUAUGACAUCUCAUUAUUGUCAUUUUCUUGGGUGAAGUUAUUAUGUCUAUGAUUUGCUGUUUCACCCAAUCAUUCUUUGGGAUGAGAUUAUUUAGUUUCCCAUUAUUUUUGGUCUAUUUUCCCCUGGCUUUUUAUUGAAUGUAAUUUUCAUUGCAUCGUGGUCUGAAAAGCAUGCAUUUACUAUCUCUGCCUUACUGCAUUUGAAUUUGAGGUUUUUAGGUCCUAAUAUAUGGUCAAUUUUUAUAGAGGUUCCAUGAACUGCUGAGAAGAAAGUGUACUCCUUUCUGUCUCCAUUCAGCUUUUUUCUCCAAAGAGCUAUCCUAUCUAACUUUUCUAGUAUUUUAUUUACCUCGUUGACUUCUUAUUUAUUUUGUGGUUUGAUUUAUCUAAUUCUGAGAGUGCAAGGUUGAGGUCUCCCUGUGUGCCUGGCAUAUAAUAGGUGUUUAAUGAUAAAUGCUUCUUGACUCGACACAUGAUAUUCCCAAACCUGGCAUGGCCCCUGGGCACAUAGUAGGUGUUUAAUGAUAAAUGCUUCUUGACUGAACACAUGAUAUCCCCAAGCUCAGCACAGUGCCUGGCACUUAGUAGGCGUUUAAUGAUAAAUGUUUAUUGACUGGACACAUGAUAUUCCCAAGCCUGGCACAGCACCUGGCACACAGUAUGUGUUAAUGAUAAAUACUUCUUGACUGGACACAUGAUAUUCCCAAACCUGACAUGGCACCUGGGCACAUAGUAGGUGUUUAAUGAUAAAUGCUUCUUGACUGAACACAUGAUAUCCCCAAGCUCAGCACAGUGCCUGGCACUUAGUAGGUGUUUAAUGAUAAAUGUUUAUUGACUGGACACAUGAUAUUCCCAAGCCUGGAACAGUGCCUGGCAUAGUAGGGUGCUUAAUAACAAAUGCUUCUUGAUUGGACACAUGAUAUUCCCAAGCCUGAAACAGGACCUGGCACAUAGUAAGUGCUUAAUAACAAACGCUCCUUGACUGGACACAGGAUAUCCCCAAGCCUGACACAGUGCCUGGCACAUCCACAGUAGGCACUUAUGUUGACCAGGUGACUGGC